rnacentral:rRNA from 1 species
GUGCCAGCAGCCGCGGUAAUACGGAGGGUGCGAGCGUUAAUCGGAAUUACUGGGCGUAAAGCGCAUGCAGGUGGUUCAUUAAGUCAGAUGUGAAAGCCCGGGGCUCAACCUCGGAACUGCAUUUGAAACUGGUGAACUAGAGUGCUGUAGAGGGGGGUAGAAUUUCAGGUGUAGCGGUGAAAUGCGUAGAGAUCUGAAGGAAUACCAGUGGCGAAGGCGGCCCCCUGGACAGACACUGACACUCAGAUGCGAAAGCGUGGGGAGCAAACAGGAUUAGAUACCCUGGUAGUCC